rnacentral:rRNA from 1 species
CGCGUAGGUGGUUCGUUAAGUCGAAUGUGAAAGCCCCGGGCUCAACCUGGGAAUUGCAUUCGAUACUGGCAGACUAGAGUAUGGUAGAGGGAAGUGGAAUUCCGGGUGUAGCGGUGAAAUGCGUAGAUAUCCGGAGGAACAUCAGUGGCGAAGGCGACUUCCUGGACCAAUACUGACACUGAGGUGCGAAAGCGUGGGUAGCAAACA